ACUAACUAGGAUUCCCUUAGUAGCGGCGAGCGAACAGGGAAGAGCCCAGCACCGAAUCCCGCGGCCUUAACGGGACGCCGGGAAAUGUGGUGUUUGGGAGGGUCCGCUAUCCCGCGGACGUUCUGCGCGUCCAAGUCCUUCUUGAACGGGGCCACUUACCCACAGAGGGUGCCAGGCCCGUAGAGACCGCCUACGACCGCGGGAGGAUCUCUCCUUAGAGUCGGGUUGCUUGAGAGUGCAGCCCUAAGUGGGUGGUAAACUCCAUCUAAGGCUAAAUAUAACCACGAGACCGAUAGCGAACAAGUACCGUGAGGGAAAGUUGAAAAGAACUUUGAAGAGAGAGUUCAAGAGUACGUGAAACCGUUCAGGGGUAAACCUGAGAAACCCGAAAGAUCGAACGGGGAUAUUCAAGCGCGUCUCGGUGCCGGCGAGUGCCGGUCGUGCGACGGGCGCCGUUCGCGGCGCCCGCGUCGGCCGUCUCCGUCCGGUGGCGAACGCGUGCACUUAUCCCCUUGUAGGACGUCGCGACCCGUUGGGUGCCGGCUUAAGGCCCGCGGUGGAGCCCGUGCGGCGGCGCAAGCCGUCCGUCCGGACCCGCGGUGUCCCGGCCGGCCCGCCCGACGGUAUACCGAUGGCGCGGGGCCGCGGCCAGUUCGCGUCCGACCAGUCUCAAGCGCGGACGGCAACCCGGCGAUCGGACCUGGCGCCGAUUCCGGGCCCGCCCGGCUGUUGGGGGCUGAGUUCUCGGACAGACUCCGUCACACGCCCGUCGGCGACGCUAUAGCUUUGGGUACUUUCAGGACCCGUCUUGAAACACGGACCAAGGAGUCUAGCAUGUGCGCGAGUCAUUGGGACUAGCGAAACCUAAAGGCGAAAUGAAAGUGAAGGUCGGCCUCGCGCUGACCGAGGGAGGAUGGGCGGCGCUACGUCGCCGCCCCGCACUCCCGGGGCGUCUCGUUCUCAUCGCGAGAAGAGGCGCACCCAGAGCGUACACGCUGGGACCCGAAAGAUGGUGAACUAUGCCUGGUCAGGACGAAGUCAGGGGAAACCCUGAUGGAGGUCCGUAGCGAUUCUGACGUGCAAAUCGAUCGUCGGAACUGGGUAUAGGGGCGAAAGACUAAUCGAACCAUCUAGUAGCUGGUUCCCUCCGAAGUUUCCCUCAGGAUAGCUGGCGCUCGCUUUGCGAGUCUCAUCCGGUAAAGCGAAUGAUUAGAGGCAUUGGGGUCGAAACGGCCUCAACCUAUUCUCAAACUUUAAAUGGGUGAGAUCUCCGGCUUGCUCGAACUUGAAGCCGCGAGAAUUCACUAAAGGAUCAGAG
rnacentral:rRNA from 1 species